GACGGAGGUCCCGAGCGUUGUUCGGAAUUAUUGGGCGUAAAGCGCGUUCAGGCGGUUUGGCAAGUCGGGCAUGAAAUCUCUCGGCUCAACCGGGAGAGGUUGUCCGAUACUGCUGGACUUGAGGGCAGUAGAGGGUGGUGGAAUUCCGGGUGUAGUGGUGAAAUGCGUAGAUAUCCGGAGGAACACCAGUGGCGAAAGCGGCCACCUGGACUGCACCUGACGCUGACACGCGAAAGCUAGGGGAGCGAACGGG
rnacentral:rRNA from 1 species